rnacentral:rRNA from 1 species
AUUGAACGCUGGCGGCAGGCCUAACAACUGCAAGUCGAGCGAGCGGCGGACGGGUGAGUAAUGUAUGGGAACCUGCCUGAUGGAGGGGGAUAAAUACUGGAAACGGUAGCUAAUACCGCAUACCAUAAGAUGAGACCAAAUGGGAUUAGCUAGUAGGUGGGGUAAUGGCUCACCUCGGCGACGAUCCCUCGCUGGUCUGAGAGGAUGACCAGCCACAAUGGAACUGAGACACGGUCCAGAUUCCUACGGGAGGCAGCAGGGGGGAAUAUUGCACAAUGGGAGCAAGCCUGAUGCAGCCAUGCCGCGUGUAUGAAGAAGGCCUUAGGGUUGUAAAGUACUUUCAGCGGGGAGGCGUUACCCGCAGAAGAAGCACCGGCUAACUCCGUGCCAGCAGCCGCGGUAAUUC